AGCAGUAGCCGCGGGAAUACGUAGGUGGCAAGCGUUGUCCGGAAUUAUUGGGCGUAAAGGGCUCGCAGGCGGUUUCUUAAGUCUGAUGUGAAAGCCCCCGGCUCAACCGGGGAGGGUCAUUGGAAACUGGGAAACUUGAGUGCAGAAGAGGAGAGUGGAAUUCCACGUGUAGCGGUGAAAUGCGUAGAGAUGUGGAGGAACACCAGUGGCGAAGGCGACUCUCUGGUCUGUAACUGACGCUGAGGAGCGAAAGCGUGGGGAGCGAACAGGAUUAGAGACCCGAGUAGUCCCUGUCUCUUAUAC
rnacentral:rRNA from 1 species